rnacentral:rRNA from 1 species
AUGUGAUCGUCUCUCGCAUAUCAAUAAGCGGAGGAAAAGAAACUAACAAGGAUUCCCCUAGUAACGGCGAGUGAAGCGGGAAGAGCUCAAAUUUGAAAUCUUAAAGGGUUUCCCUUUACGAAUUGUAGUUUAAAGAAGUGUUUUCUGUUGAGGUUUUGGUAAAAGUUCUUUGGAAUAGGACAUCAUAGAGGGUGAGAAUCCCGUAUUUGACCUUUACUUUCAACUUUGUGAUACACUUUCAAAGAGUCGGAUUGUUUGGGAAUGCAGUCCAAAAUGGGUGGUAAAUUUCAUCUAAAGCUAAAUAUUGGCGAGAGACCGAUAGCGAACAAGUACCGUGAGGGAAAGAUGAAAAGAACUUUGAAAAGAGAGUUAAACAGUACGUGAAAUUGUCAAAAGGGAAGCGUUUCGACACCAGUGUUGUUUUUCUGAAAAUCAAUUAAAGAACUGUUUAUGCUAAGUUGUUUAGACUUUAUCAGCUAACUGUUUAGUUUUGAGCUUUUCUUUAAUGCACUUUUCAGUUAACAAGUCAACAUCAAUUUCUUUUGCUGUAAAAAAGCUUGAGGAAGGUGGCUUGAGAUUCGUCUUAAGUGUUUAUAGCCUCUUGCCUAUGCAGUCGGAGAGAUUGAGGUCUGCAGCGUAGAUCCUUCGGGGCUAAAUGCAUUUGUGCUAAGUUAUAGCAUUUUAUAGACAACUUGUUGACUAUGAUUUGUCUUGUAGCUUACUCGCUUAUGUUAUUUUACCUACGCUUAGGAUGUUGACACACGCGCGUGCUCG